CGCGGACGCCGCGGGCGGGGCCGGGCGCGAGGCGAGAGUCGGCGCCGUGCGGACGUCCCGGGGGCCGCUGACGGAGGCGGACGGCACAGAAACCCCGGCCGGCCGUGCGACGCGGCGUCCCUGGUGCCCGCCGGCCGCCCACGGAGGGCGCUGGGGCUAACACAGCUUUCCGAGAACCAAAAUGCGUGGUGAGGACGCGGGCCUCAGCCGGGGCCCGGGUUCGAGUGCGGCGGCUGCUCUGCCCGGAGCCCGCUCCCCGCUGAGGUGGCGGCUCCGGUGCUGCGCCUGGGCCACCCAGUGGGAGGCCCGGACGGCGGCCCUGGGCCCACGGGGAUGCACCAGCGGGCAGGAGCUGUGUCCCUCUCACACUCGCACACGACUCGGGCAAACAUGUCUACAGCGUCAACCUCAGCGUUGCAGACUGCCCGGGGAGGGGUCUGCUCACCCCUACGCUGCAGGGCAGGGGUGAGAGGGUGGGGAAUGACUGGCGGAGUCCAGGGAAGGGCAGGCCUUGUAGGCGUCACGGGUGUGGGAAGAGGAGCUGGUCAGACCCCAGAGGAGAUGGGGGCUCCGCUGAGUGGACAGACCGGAGGCAGGGUGUGGUCAGCCCAGACCUGUGCAGACGUCCCCGGGAACCUUGCUGGAUAGAUGGCCGUGACCGCGAGGAGGAAGGAGCUGAAGUCUGCGCAGCGAAGGGCUACAAAGCGUUACUUGCUGAGAUCUGGAAGAGGCCAAGCACCGGGUUGAGAGAGCCCAGUGCUUCGUUAGUCAGGAUGAAGCCCAGCAGCCUGGAGGCCAUGCUCAUCCUGCCCUUAGUUGCUGUACCCCCUUUGAAUUCUGUUAGGAUACAUUCAAACCUCUGGUCGCGCUGACCUGGCAGGCCGCAUAGCGCGCAACGGCAGCUGCUUUCUCAGGCCAGACUCUGGAAGUCACCAGCAAGCGUUAGGCAUCUUUAGAACAGACACUCUAGCCAGCCGGAAGCUGGGAAGUUUGCUUGUUGUGAGAAUAUGGGCCCUUGCAGUCCCAUAUGAAGUAGAAGAUUGGCUUAUACAUUUCCACAAGCAAAACAAAACCAGACAUUGGAAGUCUGAUAAAGAUUGCAUUGACUCUAUACAUUACAGCAGAGUGGACACUGAGAGAGAGAGACAGAGAGAAAGGUCUUCCUUUGCCGUUGGUUCACCCUCCAAUGGCCGCCGCGGCCGGCGCGCUGCGGCCGGCGCACCGCGCUGAUCCGAUGGCACGAGCCAGGAGCCAGGUGCUUUUCCUGGUGUCCCAUGGGUUGCAGGGCCCAAGCACUUGGGCCAUCCUCCACUGCACUCCCUGGCCACAGCAGAGGGCUGGCCUUCUUCCAUAAAAUAUUAAAAAUAUUAAAUUUGUAACAUAGUAAUGUGUACUAUUUUUAAAGUCACUAUAUAACAAAGUAAAGUAGCAUUCAUUUGAAUUAGGGAAGAAUUUAAAUGACGUUGGGAAAUAUCUGCAACCGCCGUCACGUGUGGGGCUGGAGUUGUGGUGUGGUGGUUAAUGCUACCACUUGCCAUGCCGGCAUCCCACAAUGGAGUGCUGGUUUGAGUCCCAUCUUCUCUGCUUCUGAUCCUGCUGGUGCACCUGGAAAAGCAGUGGAGGAUGGCCCAAGUGCUUGGGCCCCUGCCACCCACAUGGGAGACCAGGCUGGAGUUCCAGGCUUCUGGCUUCAGUCCUGGCCACUGUGGCCAUUUGGGGAGUGAACCAAUAGAUGGAGGAUAUCCCUCUCUGUUGCUCUUCCAAAUAGAUCUUUUACAAAAGUGUA